rnacentral:rRNA from 1 species
UACGAGGGGGGCAAGCGUUGUUCGGAAUUAUUGGGCGUAAAGGGCGCGUAGGCGGUUUGACAAGUCUGAUGUGAAAUCUAUGGGCUCAACCCAUAGCCUGCAUUAGAAACUGUCGGGCUUGAGUAUGGGAGAGGUGAGUGGAACUGCGAGUGUAGAGGUGAAAUUCGUAGAUAUUCGCAAGAACACCAGUGGCGAAGGCGGCUCACUGGCCCGGUACUGACGCUGAGGUGCGAAAGCGUGGGGAGCAAACAGG